rnacentral:rRNA from 1 species
CAAUUUAAACAACGAAGAGUUUGAUCCUGGCUCAGGAUGAACGCUAGCGACAGGCUUAACACAUGCAAGUCGAGGGGCAGCGGGGGUAGCGAUACCCGCCGGCGACCGGCGCACGGGUGAGUAACGCGUAUGCAACUUGCCUAUCAGAGGGGGAUAACCCGGCGAAAGUCGGACUAAUACCGCAUGAAGCAGGGGCCCCGCAUGGGGGUAUUUGCUAAAGAUUCAUCGCUGAUAGAUAGGCAUGCGUUCCAUUAGGCAGUUGGCGGGGUAACGGCCCACCAAACCGACGAUGGAUAGGGGUUCUGAGAGGAAGGUCCCCCACAUUGGUACUGAGACACGGACCAAACUCCUACGGGAGGCAGCAGUGAGGAAUAUUGGUCAAUGGCCGAGAGGCUGAACCAGCCAAGUCGCGUGAGGGAUGAAGGUUCUAUGGAUCGUAAACCUCUUUUAUAAGGGAAUAAAGUGCGGGACGUGUCCCGUUUUGUAUGUACCUUAUGAAUAAGGAUCGGCUAACUCCGUGCCAGCAGCCGCGGUAAUACGGAGGAUCCGAGCGUUAUCCGGAUUUAUUGGGUUUAAAGGGUGCGUAGGCGGCCUUUUAAGUCAGCGGUGAAAGUCUGUGGCUCAACCAUAGAAUUGCCGUUGAAACUGGGGGGCUUGAGUAUGUUUGAGGCAGGCGGAAUGCGUGGUGUAGCGGUGAAAUGCUUAGAUAUCACGCAGAACCCCGAUUGCGAAGGCAGCCUGCCAAGCCAUGACUGACGCUGAUGCACGAAAGCGUGGGGAUCAAACAGGAUUAGAUACCCUGGUAGUCCACGCAGUAAACGAUGAUCACUAGCUGUUUGCGAUACACUGUAAGCGGCACAGCGAAAGCGUUAAGUGAUCCACCUGGGGAGUACGCCGGCAACGGUGAAACUCAAAGGAAUUGACGGGGGCCCGCACAAGCGGAGGAACAUGUGGUUUAAUUCGAUGAUACGCGAGGAACCUUACCCGGGUUUGAACGCAUUCGGACCGAGGUGGAAACACCUUUUCUAGCAAUAGCCGUUUGCGAGGUGCUGCAUGGUUGUCGUCAGCUCGUGCCGUGAGGUGUCGGCUUAAGUGCCAUAACGAGCGCAACCCUUGCCACUAGUUACUAACAGGUAAAGCUGAGGACUCUGGUGGGACUGCCAGCGUAAGCUGCGAGGAAGGCGGGGAUGACGUCAAAUCAGCACGGCCCUUACAUUCGGGGCGACACACGUGUUACAAUGGCGUGGACAAAGGGAGGCCACCUGGCGACAGGGAGCGAAUCCCCAAACCACGUCUCAGUUCGGAUCGGAGUCUGCAACCCGACUCCGUGAAGCUGGAUUCGCUAGUAAUCGCGCAUCAGCCAUGGCGCGGUGAAUACGUUCCCGGGCCUUGUACACACCGCCCGUCAAGCCAUGGGAGCCGGGGGUACCUGAAGUCCGUAACCGAAAGGAUCGGCCUAGGGUAAAACUGGUGACUGGGGCUAAGUCGUAACAAGGUAGCCGUACCGGAAGGUGCGGCUGGAACACCUCCUUUCUGGAGC